rnacentral:lncRNA from 1 species
AAGAAGGUCGCCACAGGUCCAUACCUGGCCGGAUCUGCAUCGAUUUUAAGCCAGGUGCGCUGCCCUUAAUUUGGAUCUGGCUCUUUUAUAAUUAUCCUAGCUAGGUUGAUGUGAAAACAAGCAGUUCUUACCAUUACAAGCCAGGUGGGUGGUUGUUCUCUGGUUUUGGUGGGUAAAAGGAACGAGGAUACCUCAAGUUGAAGAUCAAAUCCAGCUCUUUGUCAUCAACAGCAGGCCAGCACACUCAGUCAUACCCAUAACCCAUGAGUUCAUGAAAGUUUAGGAUCUCCACGAGUAAGUUUCAAUGACAACAAGACCAGCCAAGCCAUGAGGCUCAGAAUUUCAAGAAUCCAUGAGACUGUUCUGAUGGUGUCAGCUUCAGGGACGCACAAGGAGGUCACCAAGAUAGAUCAGAUGCCGCUUCUUCAUUUGUGACGCCAAGUAAUGGUCCGGUUUUAGUUGCUAUCAUUGUUCCCCUUGGAUUGAAAAAUAAUCUGGAAUUAAUCUGUAGCAUAGUUGUUGAUCAUCCUUGUUAGUCGUUACUGCCGGCAUAGUUAAACAUGAUGCGCAUAUCCUCUUGCACUGAAAUUACAGUAAUGUUGGAAUUUCUAGCCUACUUAAGUCAACAUUCUUGUUGCGUGUGGACAUCCUAAAGUGAAUAUGGUGGCUCCUUUUAAUUGAAGACAUUUUGAAUUGUAUCCAAUAAUAU